rnacentral:rRNA from 1 species
AUUGAACGCUGGCGGCAGGCCUAACACAUGCAAGUCGAAUGGUAACAGGAAACAGCUUGCUGUUUCGCUGACGAGUGGCGGACGGGUGAGUAAUGUCUGGGAAACUGCCUGAUGGAGGGGGAUAACUACUGGAAACGGUAGCUAAUACCGCAUAACGUCGCCAGACCAAAGAGGGGGACCUUCGGGCCUCUUGCCAUCAGAUGUGCCCAGAUGGGAUUAGCUAGUAGGUGGGGUAACGGCUCACCUAGGCGACGAUCCCUAGCUGGUCUGAGAGGAUGACCAGCCACACUGGAACUGAGACACGGUCCAGACGCCUACGGGAGGCAGCAGUGGGGAAUAUUGCACAAUGGGCGCAAGCCUGAUGCAGCCAUGCCGCGUGUAUGAAGAAGGCCUUCGGGUUGUAAAGUACUUUCAGCGGGGAGGAAGGGAGUAAAGUUAAUACCUUUGCUCAUUGACGUUACCCGCAGAAGAAGCACCGGCUAACUCCGUG